AUAGCGCACGCCGAAAAGCUUACGAGUAGGCA
rnacentral:ncRNA from 1 species